AUUUAAAUAGUUUAUUAAAAAUAUUGAUUUGUGGUAUCAAAGAUACAAUUAUUUGUUUUAAAUA
rnacentral:tRNA from 1 species